rnacentral:rRNA from 2 species
UGGCGACCGGCGCACGGGUGAGUAACACGUAUCCAACCUGCCGUCUACUCUUGGACAGCCUUCUGAAAGGAAGAUUAAUACAAGAUGGCAUCAUGAGUCCGCAUGUUCACAUGAUUAAAGGUAUUCCGGUAGACGAUGGGGAUGCGUUCCAUUAGAUAGUAGGCGGGGUAACGGCCCACCUAGUCUUCGAUGGAUAGGGGUUCUGAGAGGAAGGUCCCCCACAUUGGAACUGAGACACGGUCCAAACUCCUACGGGAGGCAGCAGUGAGGAAUAUUGGUCAAUGGGCGAGAGCCUGAACCAGCCAAGUAGCGUGAAGGAUGACUGCCCUAUGGGUUGUAAACUUCUUUUAUAAAGGAAUAAAGUCGGGUAUGCAUACCCGUUUGCAUGUACUUUAUGAAUAAGGAUCGGCUAACUCCGUGCCAGCAGCCGCGGUAAUACGGAGGAUCCGAGCGUUAUCCGGAUUUAUUGGGUUUAAAGGGAGCGUAGAUGGAUGUUUAAGUCAGUUGUGAAAGUUUGCGGCUCAACCGUAAAAUUGGCAG